UACGUAGGGUGCAAGCGUUGUCCGGAAUUAUUGGGCGUAAAGAGCUCGUAGGCGGUUUGUCGCGUCUGCUGUGAAAACUCGAGGCUCAACCUCGAGACGUCGGUUGAAACCGUUUGGCUAGAGUCCGGAAGAGGAGAGUGGAAUUCCCGGUGUAGCGGUGAAAUGCGCAGAUAUCGGGAAGAACACCCGUGGCGAAGGCGGCUCUCUGGGACGGUACUGACGCUGAGGAGCGAAAGCGUGGGGAGCGAACAGG
rnacentral:rRNA from 1 species